rnacentral:rRNA from 1 species
UGGUUACUUAGAGGUGGUUUAUAGAUUUGUUUUGGUUUUUUAGGGUACCUUUUGCAUCAUGAUUUAUUGAUGGUGAUUUCUGUUUUGUAUUGUCUCGAAGAGUAUCGGUAACUACUUUUAUUGCUAGGUGCUUUAUGUUAAUACGGGGAGUAUAGCGGAAAUAUGAGUAGUGUUGUGAUAAAUAAUUCGGGAUACUUUAUAUCUUGUUGGGAUUAUUAUUUGUUGUUUGAUCUGGCUGGCUAGGAUGUUAGUUGGUGGUUUAUAGGCGGUAUUAGUCUUGAGGUUCUUAUGGGUUAAAAUUACCCCUAGGGGUUGUGUGUAUUAAUACUCUUGGUGAUUCGUUUUUGUGGCUUUAGUGGUUGAAUAAUCCCCCCUAUACUGGAUGUUGAGUAUGAUAGAAUAAGUAGGUUUUUAUUAGCUUCAGUUUUUCUCGAGGACUUCCGGUCUGUUUAUUAAAAACAUUUCUAUCUUUUUUUAUAGAUAGUAGUGCCUGCCCAAUGCUCAAGUGAAUGGCCGCAGUAUAUUGACUGUGCUAAGGUAGCAUAAUUAGUUGCCCCAUAAUUGGGGGAUUGUUUGAAAGGUUUGACUAGGGAGGUUACUUAAAUUGGGGUUGUUAUUGAAAUUGGUUUUCUGGUGCAGAUCCCAGGAUUAUGUUAUUAGACGGAAAGACCCCGAGAUCUUUACAUUGUGUUUGUUUACUUGGGGCAAGGCUAAAUAAUUUAUGUAGUUUUGGAUCCUAAGGGAUAGAAGGUUUGAGUUACCUCGGGGAUAACUAGGUAAAAAAUAAGGAGAGGCCAAAUCGAUUUAUUUAAUUGCCAUCUCGAUGUUGACUUGGGAAAUAUAAUAAGGUGCAGAAGUUUUAUUAUAAGGUCUGUUCGACCGAGAGUUCCCUCAUGAGUUGAGUUAAGACCGGCGUGAGCCAGGUCGGUUCUUAUCUAUACUUGAUGUGGAUUAGUACGAAAGGAUUGUCCAUAUUUUAUGUU